rnacentral:rRNA from 1 species
AGUUGGAUUCGCUAGUAAUCGCGCAUCAGCCAUGGCGCGGUGAAUACGUUCCCGGGCCUUGUACACACCGCCCGUCAAGCCAUGGGAGCCGGGGGCGCCUGAAGUCCGGGACCGCGAGGACCGGCCUAGGGCGAAACUGGUAACUGGGGCUAAGUCGUAACAAGGUAGC